AGCUCAAAUUUGAAAUCUGGCUUCGGCCCGAGUUGUAAUUUGCAGAGGAUGUUUCUGGCGCGGUGCCUUCCGAGUUCCCUGGAACGGGACGCCACAGAGGGUGAGAGCCCCGUAUGGUUGGAUACUAAGCCUGUGUGAAACUCCUUCAACGAGUCGAGUAGUUUGGGAAUGCUGCUCAAAAUGGGAGGUAAAUCUCUUCUAAAGCUAAAUAUUGGCCAGAGACCGAUAGCGCACAAGUAGAGUGAUCGAAAGAUGAAAAGCACCUUGAAAAGGGGGUUAAACAGUACGUGAAAUUGUUGAAAGGGAAGCGCUCAUGACCAGACUUGUGCUGGGCAGCUCAUCCGGGGUUCUCCCCGGUGCACUCUGCCCAGUUCAGGCCAGCAUCGAUUUUUGCUGGGGGAUAAGAACGGUAGGAACGUGGCCCUCCUUCGGGUGGGUGUUAUAGCCUACCGUACGAUACCCUGGUGGAGAUCGAGGUUCGCGCAUCUGCAAGGAUGCUGGCGUAAUGGUCAUCAGCGACCCGUCUUGAAACACGGACCAAGGAGUCGUCCAUUAGAGCGAGCGUUUGGGUGUAAAACCCGCACGCGUAAUGAAAGUGAAAUUAGGUGAGAGCUUCGGCGCAUCAUCGACCGAUCCUGAUGUUCUCGGAUGGAUUUGAGUAAGAGUUUUAACGGACGGACCCGAAAGACAGUGAACUAUGCUUGUAUAGGGUGAAGCCAGAGGAAACUCUGGUGGAGGCUCGCAGCGGUUCUGACGUGCAAAUCGAUCGUCAAAUAUGAGCAUGGGGGCGAAAGACUAAUCGAACUGUCUAGUAGCUGGUUACCGCCGAAGUUUCCCUCAGGAU
rnacentral:rRNA from 1 species